rnacentral:rRNA from 1 species
CGCUGGCGGCGUGCUUAACACAUGCAAGUCGAACGAGACGGAUGAAAGCUUGCUUUGAAAAGUCGAGUGGCAAACGGGUGAGUAACGCGUAGACAACCUGCCGCAAAGAUGGGGACAACAGUUCGAAAGGACUGCUAAUACCGAAUGUUGUCAGACUCCCGCAUGGGAGACUGAUUAAAGAUGGCCUCUACUUGUAAGCUAUCGCUUUGCGAUGGGUCUGCGUCUGAUUAGCUGGUUGGUGGGGUAACGGCCUACCAAGGCGACGAUCAGUAGCCGGUCUGAGAGGAUGAACGGCCACAUUGGAACUGAGACACGGUCCAGACUCCUACGGGAGGCAGCAGUGGGGAAUCUUCCGCAAUGGGCGAAAGCCUGACGGAGCAACGCCGCGUGAGUGAAAAGAAGGGUUUCGGCUCGUAAAGCUCUGUUGACGGGGACGAAUGUGCUAGAUGCGAAUAGUUUCUAGCAAUGACGGUACCCGUCGAGGAAGCCACGGCUAACUACGUGCCAGCCGCCGC